UACGUACUCCCUCCGUCCGAAAUUAAUUGUCGUAGAAAUGGAUAUAUUUAGAUGUAUUUUAGUUCUAGAUACAUCCAUUUUCGAGACAAGUAAUUUCGAACGGAUGAAGUACAUU
rfam:Triticum aestivum genome assembly, contig: Triticum_aestivum_CS42_TGACv1_scaffold_030287_1BL